GCCUAGGCAGUACUCUGCUUCUGUUCCAUGGAAAUGUUAUACAGCAAAGAAAUGAGGCAAGGCAGGGCUACUCUUAUCUCACUGGGAGGUGAUGGUCACAGUGACAUAAGUGAGUCAAGGUGGGCAUGGUUUUAGCUCACUGGGAAGUCAGAGGAAAGGGGGCCUUGGAGAUAGGGUCAAGGGGUAAACCUGAGAUGAGGUGCUGUGGCCCACUGCUCCCCUGGUUGCAAGUCUCACGGGGACACUUAAAGAGGAAGU